rnacentral:pre_miRNA from 1 species
AAUGGAGGGUGCAGCCAAGAAUGACUUGCCAACUCUUCUGAAGUCAUUUUCAAGACUAAAGGGUUCACUCUCAUCGAAAUAAAUGAUGAGAUGAAAAAAGUGAAAUGAAAGAAGUUGGCAAGUUGUUCUUAGCUACAUCUUUCUUUCU